rnacentral:rRNA from 1 species
UACGGAGGGGGCUAGCGUUGUUCGGAAUGACUGGGCGUAAAGGGCGCGUAGGCGGCGAUUCAAGUCAGGUGUGAAAGGCCUGGGCUCAACCCGGGAACUGCACUUGAUACUGAAUUGCUUGAGUCCGGGAGAGGAUGGCGGAAUUCCCAGUGUAGAGGUGAAAUUCGUAGAUAUUCGCAAGAACACCAGUGGCGAAGGCGGCCAACUGGUCCGGUUCUGACGCUGAGGCGCGAAAGCGUGGGGAGCAAACAGG